UCGGUAAAGUCAGUGCGUCACUGCAGCUGGAUAGAAACAGUCAGCGUUCUGAGACGUUUCUACUUAGCGUUCAAAAUCCCUGUUCCGGCACACUCAGUUCUCAUGGCUGGUUUGGGAUCUAAUGGAUGACGUAAUUGCUUGGCGGUGGGGGCCAGUUACUGCCCUGCUUUCCCUUUCAUCACUAACACUCUAUAUAAAUGGCCUUCUGUGCUGACUAGGAUGCUGGCUACCUGCAUGGAAAGACUUUGUUUGAUGUGUGCUACCACAAUGCUAUCUUCAAGAUUAACAACCUUCUGGCAUCAUAUUCAAAGUCACAGCCCAGAGCUCCACUUAAAUUCAUAAUCUAAUCAGAUACGAGACCCAGGGUAGCUCACAAAUGCCUUUUAACAGAGAGAAUAACAGUUCAGCAGUUAUGCUUAAGUGAGAAGAGAAGUUAUGGACCUAGUUGGUAUAAUGGGACAGUUUAAAUAAUGCCUCAAAAGACAUCAUUUGGUGUAUUUCAGGGCGAUGGUUUAUAGCCCCUUUAAGAUGGCUUUUAAACCUUGCAGGAUGAUUAAACUAAACCUGGAUAAGGUCUCAGAAGUCUGUGUAUGGACUGGAAGGUUGAUGCUUUAGAAAAAGAGUUGGUGUUGGCACAAGAACAGGCAAACUGCAGCCAAUGAGACGAGAGGCUGGAGAAUCGAGCUGUCUGGCAACAAAAGUGUAGAGAUUUGAAAGGCAAAUAAAUCUGUUGCACACAUCAGAUUUGUUGGUAGAAGAGAUUUGUGGCUCACAUCCUCAAACCAAGUACUGCAGAGAACACGACAUCCCAUAAAUAAAAAUACAAUGAAACCCAUUGUUCUCUUCUCAGCCUCUCACACUGAUCACAGCUGUUUCAACACAACAUGUUAAGGUAAAAGAAGUGUAAACUUAAAAAAUAAAUGUUGAGAGAUACAUCGAGUUCAGUUCUAUUCUGUUGUGCAAUAUCUGUCCAUUUUUGAACUCGAGACUUAAUGCAUCCUAUGUGAACAAAUAAUACACAUCAGUCACUAUCAAUUUUGUAUAGAAGCCUGUUUGUGUGCACAGAAAAGCUUACAGCAAAAAACACACAUGCACAUCUAAUUGUCAGAUAUGAGAUAAGUUCAAUAUUUAACUAAAAAAAAAAAACAAACAAACAACAACAACAACAACAACAAAAAUCGGUUGUUGUUGGCACAAAUUAAAUCUUGGUAAUGUCUAGACUACGAAGGAGCCUCAUGUUAUAUCCUUCAUGGCCCAGGAAAUGAAGAAUGCAUUUCAAGGUCACAUUUGAAGGAGCUUUCGAAUUGGGACAACCUAGAAGUCUUCAGAUUUCAAAAAUCAUGUAGUGUAUUC
rnacentral:lncRNA from 1 species